ACUUACAUUCACAACGCCCGGGUAUUACGAGCUUUAGCUUAAAACCCAAAGGACUUGACGGUGUCCCAUCCACCUAGAGGAGCCUGUUCUAUAAUCGAUAAUCCCCGCUAUACCUAACCACCCUUAGCCAAUCAGUCUGUAUACCUCCGUCGCAAGCUUACCAUAUGAAUGACCACAGUAAGUUAAAAGAUUGCCACACCAAUACGUCAGGUCAAGGUGCAGCUUAUAGGAUGGCAAGCAAUGGGCUACAAUUUCUACACUAGAACAAACGAAACGCUGCAUGAAACACAGCCACGAAGGCGGAUUUAGUAGUAAAAAGAAAGUAGCGUGUUCUUUUUAACUAGGCCCUGGGACGUGU
rnacentral:rRNA from 1 species